CAGCAGCCACGGUAAGACGUAGGGAGCGAGCGUUGUCCGGAAUUACUGGGCGUAAAGAGCUCGUAGGCGGGACCGUAAGUCCAAGAGGAAAUCUCAAGGCUCAACUUUGGGGCUUUCUUGGAUACUGCGGUUCUUGAGGAUAUCAGAGGAAAGUAGAAUUCCCGGUGUAGCGGUGAAAUGCGUAGAUAUCGGGAGGAAUACCAGUGGCGAAGGCGACUUUCUGGGAUAUUCCUGACGCUGAGGAGCGAAAGCGUGGGGAGCAAACGGGAUUAGAUACCCGGGUAGUCCCUGUCUCUUAUAC
rnacentral:rRNA from 1 species